rnacentral:rRNA from 1 species
AACGGGAUACUUCGGUAUCUAGUGGCGGACGGGUGAGUAACGCGUGAGAAUCUGGCUUUAGGUUCGGGACAACAGUGGGAAACUGCUGCUAAUACCGAAUGUGCCGCAAGGUGAAAGAUUAAUUGCCUGAAGAAGAGCUCGCGUCUGAUUAGCUAGUUGGUGAGGUAAAAGCUCACCAAGGCGACGAUCAGUAACUGGUCUGAGAGGAUGACCAGUCACACUGGGACUGAGACACGGCCCAG